GGGAGCGUAGCUCAGAGGGAGAGCGCUUCCCUUACAAGGAAGAGGCCGUAGGUUCAAGUCCUACCGCUCCCACCA
rnacentral:tRNA from 1 species